rnacentral:misc_RNA from 1 species
GAUGAAGAACGUAGCGAAAUGCGAUACGUAAUGUGAAUUGCAGAAUUCAGUGAAUCAUCGAAUCUUUGAACGCAUAUUGCGCUCUCUGGUAUUCCGGAGAGCAUGCUUGUUUGAGUAUCAGUAAACACCUCAACUUCCAUAUCUUUUUUGAAAUGGGAGUUGGACUCGAGUGAUCCCAACGCUUUUCCUCACCGAAAAGUGGCGGGUUACUUGAAAUGCAGGUGCAGCUGGACUUUUCUCUGAGCUAUAAGCAUAUCUAUUUAGUCUGCCUAAAAAACAGAUUAUUACCUUUGCUGCAGCUAACAUAAAGGAGAUUAGUUCUUGUGCUGACUGAUGCAGGAUUCACAAAGACAGCUUCGGCCGACUUUGUAAACUCGAUCUCAAAUCAAGUAAGACUACCCGCUGAACUUAAGCAUAUCAAUAAGCGGAGGA